CCUACGGGAGGCAGCAGUAGGGAAUAUUGCUCAAUGGGGGAAACCCUGAAGCAGCAACGCCGCGUGGAGGAUGACGGUUUUCCGAUUGUAAACUCCUUUUGUUAGAGAAGAUAAUGACGGUAUCUGACGAAUCACCACCGGCUAACUCCGUCCCAGCAGCCGCGGUAAUACGGAGGGUGCAGGCGUUACUCGGAAUCACUGGGCGUAAAGGGCGCGUAGGCGGGAUAGCAAGUCAGAUGUGAAAUCCUAUGGCUUAACCAUAGAACUGCAUUUGAAACUGUUAUUCUAGAGUAUGGGAGAGGUAGGUGGAAUGCUUGGUGUAGGGGUAAAAUCCGUAGAGAUCAAGAGGAAUACUCAUUGCGAAGGCGACCUGCUAGAACAUAACUGACGCUGAUGCGCGAAAGCGUGGGGAGCAAACAGGAUUAGAUACCCGUGUAGUC
rnacentral:rRNA from 1 species